CAAGCGAAAGCCAAACCCGCUGCGAGGCGGGGACGGAAAGCCACGGAUCUCGCGUAGAGACAGCCGGGUUGCCUGCA
rnacentral:ncRNA from 1 species